AGCGAACGCUGGCGGCAGGCCUAAUACAUGCAAGUCGAGCGCACCUUCGGGUGAGCGGCGGACGGGUGAGUAACGCGUGGGAAUGUGCCCUUUGGUACGGAACAACUGAGGGAAACUUCAGCUAAUACCGUAUGUGCCCUUCGGGGAAAGGAUUAUCGCCAUAGGAGCAGCCCGCGUUGGAUUAGGUAGUUGGUGAGGUAAAGGCUCACCAAGCCUACGAUCCAUAGCUGGUCNGAGAGGAUGA
rnacentral:rRNA from 1 species